CGCAAAUGAUGACACAAUAUUUGCUAUCUGAUCUGUGAUUACACUACCCACCAAGAUCACUGAUGCG